UCCGGUUGAUCCCGGCGGAGGUUACUGCUAUCGAGGUUCGACUAAGCCAUGCGAGUCGAAUGUAGCAAUACAUGGCGUACUGCUCAGUAACACGUGGACAACCUGCCCCUUAGGUCGGGUAUAAACCCGGGAAACUGGGUAUAAUCCCCCGAUAGGUCUCGGCUGCUGGAAUGCACCGAGAUUAAAAGCUCCGGCGCCCCUUAAAAGGAAUUGGGGGGUUCCUUGGCGGGGCCCUUAAUUCCAAGGGUUAAGUAAGUUGGGGUGUAAGCGUACCUACUAGCCUACGACGGGUACGGGUUGUGAGAGCAAGAGCCCGGAGAUGGGAUUCCUGGAAGAACACCGGAAAUUCCAGGGCCCCUACGGGGUGCAGCAGGCGCGAAAACUUUACAAUGCUGGCAAC
rnacentral:rRNA from 1 species